UACGUAGGGUGCAAGCGUUAAUCGGAAUUACUGGGCGUAAAGCGUGCGCAGGCGGCUUUGCAAGACAGAUGUGAAAUCCCCGGGCUUAACCUGGGAACUGCAUUUGUGACUGCAUGGCUGGAGUGCGGCAUAGGGGGAUGGAAUUCCGCGUGUAGCAGUGAAAUGCGUAGAUAUGCGGAGGAACACCGAUGGCGAAGGCAAUCCCCUGGGCCUGCACUGACGCUCAUGCACGAAAGCGUGGGGAGCAAACAGG
rnacentral:rRNA from 1 species